GACAUGUACACGUCAAACGACAUUAAGGAAAUGACGUUUAAUAUCAUGCAGUUAUAUUCAUGGCAUACAAGUCACCUAUCUUUCGUAAGCACUAAACCUGUGUUUUACAAAAUUGUAAUGCGAAACUAAAUGAAAGUUUUUGUGUUACAUGUGUAGUUAAUUAAUUAAAUCGAUGCGGAAGAAUCAGAGAUUUAUUAUAUAAUUUUACGGACAUAUACGGAGUUAAGGGAAAAUGAAACUGUGGCUAGUGAUCAUUCACAUAGUGUUAGUUGCUACAAAUAUAUGGGUCACAGCACAUUUCCAUGAAGAGCUUCCAGAAGAUAAUGAAUUUGCAGAGUUUGAAGAUUUUGAAGAAGAUAGACCAAAUUCGGCAGUUCCUUCUGAUCAUAUAACAGAACAUCAUAAAGAAGCAGAUUUAAAUGAAGAUUUCGAAGAAGAUGAUGUUCUUAUUGUAGAUGGAGACAAUGAAUUUGAUCACUUUCAAGAUGAAGAAGAAUUUGAGGGGUUAGAUGUGACUGGUGGAAAUGCAGGUUCUAAAAGUGAUGAACCGUCCACACUUACAAUUACUAAAGUACCUCUGCAUUUGCGUGCAAGAUGGGAUAGUUUCUGUUUGGAAAUAUUGAUGGUAGCUGGACUUUUAGUAUAUUGCAUAAAUUAUAUUGCAGGACGUGCUAAGAAUGCACGUAUAGCAGAAUGUUGGUUGCAAGAACACAGACAACUCUUGUUAGAAAAUUUUACUCUUGUAGGUGAUACAGGGAAAUUGGUAGAAAAUGUAUCUGAAAAUGGUUUGGUUAAGGAAAGCGAGUCACAAUAUACCUUGUAUUGUUCGGGUCGAGUUGGCUGUGAUUCAAUGUUGAUAGAACUCAAAUUAAUUAAAAGACAAGACUUAAUUGCAGUAUUAGCUCAACUAGUACGCCCACAAAAUGAUCAAGCACAUAUAAGAGUAGAUCUUGCCAAAGAUGAAGUUGAUAAUUUUGUAUUAGCAAUUGCCACAAAACGAACUGCAAUGCAUUUAGCAAGAGAUAUGGCUGACAUUAGUGUUUAUUGCCCUGAUAAACGACCUGGAGAAAAAUAUGGACUUCCAGCAGGCUUUUAUGUUAUGCCAGAAAUUGCUGAAACAGCUUCUGUUAUUUUAGAUACUAGAGUUCUACAAGCUUUUGCCAAAUUUGCACCAUAUAUAGAUUAUAUACACAUUAGUGAUCAAUAUAGCGGACUUAAACAACAAACAGAAACUACCCAAUUAACAAUGCCUGAAGUAAAAAAAGUAUUAUUAGUCGGACUAAACAUAAGUAUAAAAGGACGUACUGCUAGCCCAGAAUGUCAAGAGAAACUAAAACUUCUCCUACAACUUACAUUUUACAUAUUGGAUAAAUUACGACGUUUCAAGCUAUCUAAAGAGGGUAAGAAUAAAGCGGAUAAAAAUCGCCUUAGAGUAGAGGAAGCCUUUUUAAAAACAACGCACGCGGCACGAGCCGAAGCUGCAGCACAGAAACGAGAAGAACGUAGGAGAGCUGAAAAAGAAAGAAUUCUCCAAAAAGAAGAUCCUGAUAAGCAAAGAAAGUGGGAAGAAAAAGAGCAACGUAGAUUAGCAAAGAAACGUGCACCAAGAAUGAAACAACUUAAAGUAAAAGCUUUGUGACCCAAUGCAGAUGUCACUGUUGAAUGUGACGAAAGUUCUAGACAGCCAUAUCAAAAAUUAAAGCCAACCAACUUUAAUAUGAUAAAUAUAGUUUCAUUAAACAAAUUAUAUACAAUGAUUCCAUGCUGAAAUCAGUGUUAAAAAAAUUAAUAUAUACAAAUUUUAAUACAAUUCUGUAUUGAAAUUCUAUGCUUUGAAUAUGCAUAUUGUUCCCAAAAUAUGCUUUAUUUAAUACAGCCAAGUUUUUACUAUAAGGCUGAAUUUUUAUUAUAACUAAGAGACUGUUUUCAUUGAACCAUUUUUAGGAAAUCAUUUCAUUAAUUCAAAAUAAAAGCGUAUAUUAUUAAUAGAAUAAAAGGUGCAUGAAAGAGGUGUAUGCGUUUUGCCUGAAAAACAAGUACUCUUAAAUACAGAAAAUAUGUAACUUUUUCUACCAUCGUGUUAUAUCAUGUUCUAAUAUACAACUUAAAACAAUUAACUCUGCAUUACUUAAUAUAACAUACUUGAAAUAUCAUGCUCCUCCCUUGCUCAUUAUUUACAUAUUUGUUAUGUUAAUAAUGUUAGUAAUGAAUGAAUUUUAUAAGUAUUGUAAAUAUCGUAUAUUGUAAUUAUAUAAAUAAUAUGUAUGUACAUGAAAUACAUGUCUUUCCAAUGGAUUUCUACUAUCAUAGAAAGUUAAAAGACCCUCCCAUUGCUAAAAAAUGUUUCUAAAAAUUACUUUGAAUAAACUUGAAUUUACUUUUAUAAUAAAAGCUUAAAUAAAUCUACAAAUUUUUUAAGAGUUUCAGGUUAGCUUGAAUUACUGUCUUCGGAAAUAAAUAAUUUUUAUCGGAUAUGAAAUCAGCUAUAACAAUGUUUAAACCAUUAGAUCCAGAUUUAUGUUGACUUAUCCAAUUGAGAAUCGCUUUUUGACAUAUCGGCGCCAAAUCUGACUGUAAAUUUCCACACAGAUGCUUCAUAACGUACGAUAUAUUAGGAGUUAAGAGACAUUGCGAUACUAAAGGGAUAUCGGGUGAACGUUUUUGAAGUUUAUCGUUUAAAAAAUUUACGAGUUGAUCAACAAGUACGGUAUUUGGCCAUGGUGUUGGCCAGAGAGCGCUUGGCCACAAAUUCGCAUGAUUCAUCGCGUAAACGUUUCUAUAAAUGACAAAAACUUGAUACCUUUUCGAAGCAAGCCAAUAUAAAGACAUAUGAUCGAAAGAAGAAAAAGUUGGACAUAAUUUCUCACGAAAAAUAUCAUUUAUUAUCGCAACGAGACGACGAUGAUUCAUAUCCGAAAAAUUGUAAAAAUGUUGAAAAUCUAAAAUGAUAACUUCGUUCGCGUGAUGAUUUAACCAACGUACAAUAUCUUCUAAUGGCUUGGUAACCUCUGAUCCAUACAAACCAUGAAGAAAAUAAAUAUUGUCAUUCCUUGUUUUUGUAGCAACUCGUAAAUCCAAAUAUCUUAUUCCACCAUUUAAUUGUUCUCUUACAUUGUUCUUUUGCGUAACAGACCAAUUAAAAAUGACAGGCUUUGAAAAAAUAGAACAAUAACGACCCAAUGCUCUGAUGUAUGUAGGCUCAUCAGGUCCUACCUCGUUACGUCGUUCUAUCGUAUAAGUCAUCGUAUUGUGCGAACCUGUGAAGAAUAACCUUGAAAAUUACAUGUUUCCCACACAAUUCUCAUAGCUACGAUUUAACUGUAUUUUCUUUUUUUUUUUAAGGAAGUAUAUACAAAGAAUAUGUAAUAUAUAUUCAAUAUACUAUUAUUUAUUGCGAAUUGUGUAUCGUGUUUACUAUUGUAUUUGCUAUCGUGAUUAAUAUUAAAUAAGCUAUUUUUGGAGAACAAAAUUAAAACACGCUUCUUUUCGUAAUAAACUGAUAUGUGUAUUAGUCUUCGUAAGAUAAAUAAAACUUGCUAUUUUUCGUAACAUGUCAAUAUAUAAAAAUGUUAAUAAUAAUGUUUAAUAUAUAUCAAUAUUUUAAUAUGUGUACAUAUACACACACAUAUACAAAAACAAAAUAAUAAAUAAAUGAAAAUAAUUUUUAUCAAUGUUAUAUAAACAUAAAAAAUAUUUGAACUUACCGGGUAUAGCGAGAUAUAUAAUAGGUAAUUUUUUUAAUGGUUCCGGAAGUCGCGUCAUCCAAAAUUCCAAAUUAUCAUUUGAAAUAGUUCUAAUCGAAUAUGCUUCAGAAUGGCAUUGGUGUUCAUUUUUAAUACCAUAUUUUUGCUCCAUUACUAUUUAAAUAUACCUGUAGUAUAGAAAAUAUUAAGACAAUAACGACAAGUUCGUUUUUCACAGAGUUAAGCCUUAUACUAACAAAGAAACAUAAAUAUCGAUCAAAGUACGUUUUAAAUGAGGAAUAACACACUGAUAUCAUAACGUAAAGUAACGUACGAAUAAUACAUUAAAUGUAUUACAUCGUACAUCAGAUUUAUGUUCUCACGGUAAUUUUCUAACUUGUAUCAUUAUAUUCACCUUCGAACGGAUGACUUAUGAUUGGUUUAAACAGGAUCAAAGUGACCAAUCAUUGUAGGCCUUGGAAAGAUUAAAAAAAAUGAUUUAAUAUUAAUUCAAUAUUUCGUAUGAAUAUUACAACAAAUUAAAUAGAUUUUUAUCGAUUUUAUAUGUAGAAAAUAAGACAUUGUUAAAACCAUUUUUUAUAAUAAAUAUGGAGGACGAUAACAACGAUUCUAGCGGUUAUGUUAGAAAUUAUUUUUCUUCUUCUGCCGAUAUGGAGGAACUUUUGACAAAUACAUUAAAAAAAUAAUUUAUCUUUUCCUCUGAAUCUUUGAUUUUUUAUAAUAUUAAAAAGUGAUUUUCUAUACUAUUAAAAAAGAACUGUUCAAUGAUGUCACAUAUAUACGCGUUACUGAAUGCAAACAAGUAGAAUUUAUCCAUCCGCGCUUGGUAAUAAAGGACAGUCGCAGCUCUCGGAUAUAUCCACGUUGAAUGCAAAUGGGUUAAAAUAAUAUUUUUUAAUAUAUAAAAUACAUAAAAUAUACAAAAUAUACAAUAAAGCUUAUACUAAAGCUUUAGUAACUCUUAAUAACUUUUAAAAUAAUAAAAAUCUUAUAUUAUAGAAAAUUUCCUAUAUUCUAUUAAAUAUAUACAAUUUUUAUCCAAAUUACAUAUGAUUACCCUUAGUAGAAGAAAUCACAGCUGUUGUGAUGUAAAAUAAUUCACUUAAUUUAUUUAUGUGGUCUGAAAAAAAAAUGUAUAUACUAUGUAUAUACAUCAUAAAUUCUUUGUUAUUGUAAUCAUUCAUUUAUCAUGUACACUUUUUUACCUGCAUAAUACAUGUUAGGAGGAAAUAUAGGCAUAUCACUAAAAUAAGUAAUUGUCCUGACUUUUGAUAAUUCCGAUUCAGAAACAAGAUUAACUCUCCAUGUUGCAGGAAUACUAAACGAGAAAAAUAUUUAUAAUUUAUAAAUAUAAAAAAUAUUCAAAGAUUAUACAUACCCUUUAUUAAGUUCAUUAAUAAGGAUAUUUGGUGCAGGGAUAGUCAAAGUAUAUACUUUGUUUUUACAUAAAUCUUGUAAAGUUUCUAUAGAGAAUUCUAUAGAUGUUAUUUCUUUCAGGACAUAUUCCAAUGAUGAUUGUAAAACAUCUGUUGAACAAUUUAUAUGUUUCUGUAAAAGUAGCAUAAAUUCCAAACAAAUAUGCAUUUGUAUCAUAUUAAUCAACUUCUUCCUAUGAACAUGCAAUAAAAAAAUAAUUUACAUUAAUUAUAUAAUUAUGAAAGUAACUAUAAGAAAUGUUUAUGAAGAUCUAUAAUAAAAUUACCUAUAAAACCUGGA